UUUAUCCCGGGCCGUCCGAUUACGAUCGGAGGGUCCGACACCUAGCAAAAACCCAUUUGCUAUAAAUAUGCAGGCAACCUUAAGCCCUAGUCGUCCCAUCCAUCCAUUCCAUUCCCGCAGCCGCCGCCACCCUCUCUCCCUUUUUCCUCGGGAGCUUGUCCCAUCGCUGCCUGUCUCCUUCAUCCUCGGGAUCCUUCCAGAUUUCCACCUGCCCAAUCCAUCGAUCCUCCCAACCAGCAGAUCACCCUGGCGCCUCUUCUCCCUGCCUUCCUCUUCUGCUCGAGCGCGCCGCUCGAGAGGAGCCCGCGGCCUCCACUCCGAAGCCUCGAGCAGCCAGCUGCCUCGACUGCAACAACUCCAUGACCUCCUGCAGCUGCCUCCCCGUCGUCAUCUUCAAGCUCGCUGCCUCUGUCUCACCCACCGGACCCUCGCUUCGCUUCGUCCGCUGCCGCAUCGAGCCGCUGCUUGUUUCCACCUCUAGUGCCGCCGUCGGCCACCUCCAAACAUCGAUGUGGACAGUCAGAUCCAGAUCGCAAGGCCCCCAUCACGCUAGUUCUUCCCCACCAAAGCUCCUUGCAGCCUCAACGCUCGGAGGCGCCCGAGGCCUCGACCUCCAUCACCGCGCCUCGCCUCGCUAUAGCAGUGCAUCGCCCGCGAGCCACGGACGAAGACCAGCAACAACCCUGCCGCUCUGUCUUCUGUUCUCUGUCUCAGGCUUGCUCUCGCUCUCCCGGUGCAGGAACCCCAUGGAAGCUCCGUCUCACCGCCGUUUUGCACCCGUUCCAGCUGGGAAUCGGAUGGACCCGUCUUCCUCGCGUCCGUCCCCUGCCUCUCCGCCUCGCUGGAGUCCAGCACAUCGCCGCUAGCUGCUCGCCACCGAGCGGAUCCGCCGCCGUUCGCGUCGCCUACCUCACCAAUGCUCGAUCUGCGCCGUUCACCUCCUGCCGUCGCCCGGAUCCGCGCCGCUCCGCCGCCUCGUCUCCGGCCCCUGCCCGCCGGAGUCACGCUUCCCUGUGCCCCACAGCCUCGCCGCGCCGCGCCUCUGCUUUGUUCGAGCAGGGACGAGACAACGAGUGCUGCUCACGUUGACCGCUCCAGCAACCAAGCCAAGGCCAGCGCCCCUUCGUUGACCAGAUUGAGCGCCUCGGCUCGAUCGCCUGUACCCGUGGGCCGGCCGCGCUGCCUCCCCGCGCGUUUCAGCCCAGCAGCCAGCCCACGGCCAUCGCUUCCAAACUGGGCAAGGCCCUUGGUGAGAACACAUGCGGCCCGUAUCAUUUUUUUUCCUAGUUCCGCGAAUUUGCUAAUUAUCCAGAGAAUGCUAGCUUUUCAGAAAACCCCCUAAGUUUCAUGCAUAUCAUAUCUCACAAACCAUGUAUCGGAUUAAAUGACACACACACACAUAUAUAUAUAGUAACACUAAACUAAGCGUGAGUGUAGAAUAGCUUAUUCUACAUCCCAGUAGCGGUACAUGCAAAAUAUAGUAAUUUCCGUAAAAAUAUACUAAAUUACAAACUUGAUAAGUAAAAGAAUAUUUUCUGGAUUACUACAUUUUAUACACCGUUUUACUAGAUUUUGUAUAUAGUACUACUAGGGUGUAGAAUAAGCUAUUCUAUAGUCACGCUUAUAUAUAUAAGAAUAAGUAAUUCUUCAUCCUGAGCCAACCUUUCUCUCAGUUUGAUCCCACCCACGUGUUGUACCUUGGAGGCUCCGACCCUCCACCGUUUUAUGACAAGCGAGGUAAAUUUUCUACGCGACGAGGUAAGUUUUCCCCUUUUCUUACGUUGGCAAAAACUGUUUUCUGUUCGUGGGGUUAGCCCACUCUGCCUCCUCCGAUCCAACUCUAAUCCCUGCGGUUUUCAGCGGCGACUCACUCGCGUUAGCUGGCUUCGGUGUGGUGGUCGACGACUCAGUGAGCGGCCAGUGGGAAAGAUGGCAUGGUGGUCGAGGGUUAGGUUGGUCGUCGUGGGGAUAUACGGUUGACCACUGGGGCACGACGGCGUGGUGCUCGGUGGCCACGGCGGUGAGGUGAGCGCGACAUGGCAAGGAUGUUGGGAAGCGUAGCUUGUGGUGGUCUGCUGGCCGCGGCGACAGUUCAGGUGGUGUUGGUGGCUCUGUGAGUAGUGCUAGCGGUGGCUCUGGUUUAGACCACGACCGCUUCGUCCUAUCCUCCGGUCGGCUGCCACGGCUGCUUGCUCCAGUACGUGCUGGUAACUUAUAUCUCCGACCAAGGGCUUGCCUCGGCACCCUUACAAACUCGAGAUCCCGACUACGAGAGCUCUCCGUAAUGUGUGCACAUAUUGGCUUGAGUUCGGGCAAGAUUGGUAGUGUGUCGGUGUUGUCGUGGUGGAUGUAGUGCUAACCUCUUGGUGUAGCAUUGUGCCGGAAGGUGUUGUAUCGGCCAUCUUGACCUCUUCUUCUAUGCAUAUAUGAUAUGCAUGUUCGUGCGUAUUCUAGAAAAAAAAGAGGCUCAACAAAAUGUACUCUUUUUCAUGUGCAUAUACCUCUUGGGAACUUCAAUGAAAACCGGAAGAUUUUGUCUUCUGGUUGUUCUUCGUGGUACUACUACUCGUUCUAUACAGAUAAAAAGAAAUCUAUGUGUACAAGAAUA